rnacentral:rRNA from 1 species
UGGGGAAUAUUGCACAAUGGGCGAAAGCCUGAUGCAGCGACGCCGCGUGAGGGAUGACGGCCUUCGGGUUGUAAACCUCUUUCAUUAGGGACGAAGCGCAAGUGACGGUACCUGCAGAAGAAGCACCGGCUAACUACGUGCCAGCAGCCGCGGUAAUACGUAGGGUGCGAGCGUUGUCCGGAAUUACUGGGCGUAAAGAGCUCGUAGGCGGUUUGUCACGUCGUCUGUGAAAUCCUAGGGCUUAACCCUGGACGUGCAGGCGAUACGGGCUGACUUGAGUACUACAGGGGAGACUGGAAUUUCUGGUGUAGCGGUGGAAUGCACAGAUAUCAGGAAGAACACCGAUGGCGAAGGCAGGUCUCUGGGUAGUAACUGACGCUGAGGAGCGAAAGCAUGGGUAGCGAACAGG